GACGGUACCUAACCAGAAAGCCACGGCUAACUACGUGCCAGCAGCCGCGGUAAUACGUAGGUGGCAAGCGUUGUCCGGAAUUAUUGGGCGUAAAGCGCGCGCAGGCGGUUCCUUAAGUCUGAUGUGAAAGCCCCCGGCUCAACCGGGGAGGGUCAUUGGAAACUGGGGAACUUGAGUGCAGAAGAGAAGAGUGGAAUUCCACGUGUAGCGGUGAAAUGCGUAGAGAUGUGGAGGAACACCAGUGGCGAAGGCGACUCUUUGGUCUGUAACUGACGCUGAGGCGCGAAAGCGUGGGGAGCAAACAGGAUUAGAUACCCUGGUAGUCCACGCCGUAAACGAUGAGUGCUAAGUGUUAGAGGGUUUCCGCCCUUUAGUGCUGCAGCAAACGCAUUAAGCACUCCGCCUGGGGAGUACGGCCGCAAGGCUGAAACUC
rnacentral:rRNA from 1 species